CCUCAAAACUUUGAAUUCUGGCUAGAUAAUAAACACAAUAGAUGAAUUCUAGCUAAUUGAACACUAAUUGAUUAAUAAACACUAAUUGAUUAAUAAACAUCAUUUAUACACAAUAUAUGCAUUCUAGCUAGAUAAAUAGAUGAAUCACUAGACAUACCUAUAUUUUAAAGUCGGUGAUGCUUUUAGACCUCGAAACUUUGAAUCUGCAAUUCUGCACUGG
rnacentral:lncRNA from 1 species